rnacentral:rRNA from 1 species
AUUGAACGCUGGCGGCAGGCCUAACACAUGCAAGUCGAGCGGAUGAAGGGAGCUUGCUCCUGGAUUCAGCGGCGGACGGGUGAAUAAUGCCUAGGAAUCUGCCUGGUAGUGGGGGAUAACGUCCGGAAACGGGCGCUAAUACCGCAUACGUCCUGAGGGAGAAAGUGGGGGAUCUUCGGACCUCACGCUAUCAGAUGAGCCUAGGUCGGAUUAGCUAGUUGGUGGGGUAAAGGCCUACCAAGGCGACGAUCCGUAACUGGUCUGAGAGGAUGAUCAGUCACACUGGAACUGAGACACGGUACAGACUCCUACGGGAGGCAGCAGUGGGGAAUAUUAGACGAUGGGCGAAAGCCUGAUCCAGCCAUGCCGCGUGUGUGAAGAAGGUCUUAGGAUUGUAAAGCACUUUAAGUUGGGAGGAAGGGCAGUAAGUUAAUACCUUGCUGUUUUGACGUUACCAACAGAAUAAGCACCGGCUAACUUCGUG